UGGGGAAUCUUGCGCAAUGGGCGAAAGCCUGACGCAGCCAUGCCGCGUGAGUGACGAAGGCCUUCGGGUUGUAAAGCUCUGUCCAGGGGGACGAACGGCUCUGGGGCUCAUACCUCCAGGGAUUGACGGUACCCCUGAAGAAAGCACCGGCUAACUCCGUGCCAGCAGCCGCGGCAAUACGGAGGGUGCAAGCGUUGUUCGGAAUUACUGGGCGUAAAGAGCGUGUAGGCGGCGAUGUAAGUCGGGUGUGAAAUCCCUGGGCUCAACCCAGGAACUGCGCCCGAAACUGCGUUGCUAGAGUACGGGAGAGGGAAGUGGAAUUCCUGGUGUAGAGGUGAAAUUCGUAGAUAUCAGGAGGAAGACCCGUGGCGAAGGCGACUUCCUGGACCGAUACUGACGCUGAGACGCGAAAGCGUGGGGAGCAAACAGGAUUAGAUACCCCCGUAGUCC
rnacentral:rRNA from 1 species